rnacentral:rRNA from 1 species
CAGCAGUCGCCGCGGUAAUACAGAGGGUGCGAGCGUUAAUCGGAUUUACUGGGCGUAAAGCGUGCGUAGGCGGCUUCUUAAGUCGGAUGUGAAAUCCCUGAGCUUAACUUAGGAAUUGCAUUCGAUACUGGGAAGCUAGAGUAUGGGAGAGGAUGGUAGAAUUCCAGGUGUAGCGGUGAAAUGCGUAGAGAUCUGGAGGAAUACCGAUGGCGAAGGCAGCCAUCUGGCCUAAUACUGACGCUGAGGUACGAAAGCAUGGGGAGCAAACAGGAUUAGAUACCCCCGUAGUCCCUGUCUCUUAUAC